GCGUCAGUGAUGUAAUGGCGUAGAGCGGCCCUGCGGGGUUAGCAGGUGAUGCGGGUUCGAGUCCCGUCUGGUGCU
rnacentral:tRNA from 1 species